rnacentral:rRNA from 1 species
CCUACGGGUGGCAGCAGUGGGGAAUAUUGCACAAUGGGGGAAACCCUGAUGCAGCGACGCCGCGUGAGUGAAGAAGUAAUUCGUUAUGUAAAGCUCUAUCAGCAGGGAAGAAAAUGCCGGUACCUGAGUAAGAAGCCCCGGAUAACUACGUGCCAGCAGCCGCGGUCAUACGGAGGGGGCAAGCGUGAUCCGGAUUUACUGGGGGUAAAGGGAGCGUAGACGGCAGUGCAAGUCUUGAGUGAAAGGCUGGGGCUCAACCCCCGGACUGCUCUGGAAACUGUACGGCUGGAGUGCAGGAGAGGUAAGUGGAAUGCCUGGUGUAGCGGUGAAAUGCGUAGAUAUUAGGAGGAACACCAGUGGCGAAGGCGGCUUACUGGACUGUAACUGACGUUGAGGCUCGAAAGCGUGGGGAGCAAACAGGAUUAGAUACCCUAGUAGUC